UACAGAGGGUGCGAGCGUUAAUCGGAAUUACUGGGCGUAAAGCGCGCGUAGGCGGCUUUGCAAGUCGGGUGUGAAAUCCCCAGGCUUAACCUGGGAACUGCAUUCGAGACUGCAUUGCUAGAGUAUGGGAGAGGGAAGUGGAACUGCGAGUGUAGAGGUGAAAUUCGUAGAUAUUCGCAAGAACACCAGUGGCGAAGGCGGCUCACUGGCCCGAUACUGACGCUGAGGCACGAAAGCGUGGGGAGCAAACAGG
rnacentral:rRNA from 1 species